GGGCCGGUAGCUCAACGGUAGAGCAGCUCCCUCUUAAGGAGUUGGUUGAGGGUUCGAAUCCCCCCCGGCUCA
rnacentral:tRNA from 1 species